AGUGAACGCUGGCGGCAGGCCUAAUACAUGCAAGUCGAACGGCAGCACAGCAGAGCUUGCUCUGUGGGUGGCGAGUGGCGGACGGGUGAGGAAUACAUGGGAAUCUGCCCAGUCGUGGGGGAUAACGUAGGGAAACUUACGCUAAUACCGCAUGCGCCCUUCGGGGGAAAGCCGGGGACCUUCGGGCCUGGCGCGAUUGGAUGAGCCCAUGUCGGAUUAGCUAGUUGGCGGGGUAACGGCCCACCAAGGCGACGAUCCGUAGCUGGUCUGAGAGGAUGGUCAGCCACACUGGAACGGAGACACGGUACAGACUCCUACGGGAGGCAGCAGUAGGGAAUAUUGGACAAUGGGCGCAAGCCUGAUCCAGCCAUGCCGCGUGAGUGAAGAAGGCCUUCGGGUUGUAAAGCUCUUUUGUCCGGAAAGAAAAGCAUCCAGUUAAUACCUGGGUGUCCUGACGGUACCGGAAGAAUAAGCACCGGCUAACUUCGUGCCAGCAGCCGCCGUAAUAC
rnacentral:rRNA from 1 species